GACGAACGCUGGCGGCGCGCCUAAUGCAUGCAAGUUGAACGAUCCCGACUGGCUUCGGCCUAUCGGGAAAGUGGCGGACGGCUGAGUAACGCGUGAGCGAUCUGCCCUAGGGCGGGGAAUAAUUCCGGGAAAUCGGGACUAAUUCCGCGUACGCUCCACAUCGUAGAGGUUGUGGAGGAAAGGACAGGGGUAACCCUGUUCGCCCUUGGAGGUGCUCGCGUUCUAUCAGGUAGUUGGUGGGGUAACGGCCUACCAAGCCUAAGACGGAUAGCUGGUGUGAGAGCACGAUCAGCCAGAGGGGGACUGAGACACGGCCCCCACUCCUACGGGAGGCAGCAGCAGGGAAUCUUGCACAAUGGGCGAAAGCCUGAUGCAGCGACGCCGCGUGAGGGAUGAAGGCUCUAGGGUUGUAAACCUCUUUUCCCAGGGAAGAGUAAGGACGGUACCUGGGGAAUAAGCCACGGCUAACUACGUGCCAGCAGCCGCGGUAAUACGUAGGUGGCGAGCGUUGUCCGGAAUUACUGGGCGUAAAGGGUCCGUAGGCGGCCUGGAAAGUCUCUUGUGAAAUCUCCCGGCUUAACUGGGAGAGGUCGAGGGAUACUUUCAGGCUUGAGGACGUCAGAGGGAGACGGAAUUCCCGGUGUAGUGGUGGUAUGCGUAGAUAUCGGGAGGAACACCAGUGGCGAAGGCGGUCUCCUGGGGCGCUCCUGACGCUGAGGGACGAAAGCGUGGGUAGCAAACCGGAUUAGAUACCCGGGUAGUCCACGCCCUAAACGAUGAAUACUGGGUCUGGGGGGUAUCGACCCCCUCCGGGCCGAAGCUAACGCGUUAAGUAUUCCGCCUGGGGACUACGGCCGCAAGGCUAAAACUCAAAGGAAUUGACGG
rnacentral:rRNA from 1 species